GAGAGGACGGAGCAGGCGUACGCCAAGCUUGGCAGGGAUGCUGGAUUUACUGGUGGCUUCCAGUCGACCUACAUCUUCUGCAACAUUUACGCUCUUGAGUUUACCAAGUAGGGACAUGCACUACGUUUUUACCAGUUGUUGUGUUGAACAAGAGCUCGUGAGCUUUCCAAUAAACCAUGCGUCUUCUUGGUGAUAAUGCCAUUGAGGGCUUCAUGAGUACGAUUUGUACCUCCUUUAAUUUCUGUAUUCGCACUGUUGAAUAACCUGUUGAAUAAAGUAAAGAGAGUCCUCCCUGAAGAUCCGACUGUACAUUUUGGUUGAUCCUUUUUAUUACAUUGCAUGCCAUGUAUAUCUCACUAUCAUGGCUUAUGAACUCAAAGUAAAUUUACUCACACUCUACAAAUUCCACUAAUAUCUGUAAUACAAAUUUGUGAUCAUCAUUUCUAGAAUGUCGUACAAAGAUAACAAAAAUAACAACACAAUUCAGGCAAUCAAAGAUAGCAUCGAGAAAAGAAGAAAGAAAAGAAUAUGAUGAAUCCAUUGUAUACUCCAACGGGUCACUAGACCAAAAAUGGGUCCGUACUCCGUACAACUGGUUAGAAAAAGAAGUUUACGAACGGGUUUCAUGGAGUCUGUACAAAAUCUGUAUCUGUAUGUGUGUGUAUGUACUUUAAAAAACUACAAAUAGGUAUAAGAGACACAAACUCUAUAUACUCCGCAUAAACAUUACCCAUGGAAACUCUGCAUAGACACAUUAGCAUACGCGCUACUCCGAUGCCUUCAUUUCAAAUUUUAGGUCGUUUUAGGUUUUCUAAGUUUAUAAAAUUUGCUAUGAAUUUAGCAUGGGUACAUCUAAAUACUUAGCAAGUACUAUAAAUUUUAAAAUAUUAAAAUAAUCUAUAAUUUGGGAUGGAGAAAAUAGCUGCGAAAUUUGGUCAAGCCCACCUUGCUAGGUAGAAUAAAUAAGCUGUACCCCAUCCAUUUGGUAUUAUUUGAUGUUUCCAACAGCUCAAGGUAGCUAAUCUCAAAUUGACAAGUCCAGUUUGCAACAAGGACGCGACCCUUCGCCUAUAGCUUCCUUACCAUCUCACCUACAUAGCACAUCUGACUAAGUAGAGGAUACAAUCAUUUUAUAGUAACUCGUAGGGGAUCCUUUAGUCCCGGUUGGUAACACAUCUGACUAAGUAGGGUUGCGUGUGUGUUCAUUUGGGCGAGUGUGCGUGUGUGUUUGUGAGCGUUUGCGUCUGUACUGUGUGAUUCGAAAAGAAAAUACCAAAAGGAAUAAAGUCUACAUCACCAAAUAUAAACAAAGUCGCCAAUAAAGUCGCAAAUUAGGGGGUUAUUUUAAAUAUUAUUUAUAAUGGCAUAAGUGGGUAAUUUUGAUGAAGAUUAGGGGGUUACUUUAGUUUAUUUUAUAUAAUGGCAGAGGUGGGUAAUUUAUAUAUAGAUUUAGGGGGUUACUUUAGGCUAUUUUCAUAAUGGUAUAGGUUGGUAAUUUUUUAGAAAAUAUAAUAGAUCCAAUGACUAUGAUGAUUUGAAUCUAUCGAUUGAUGGUCGGAUGUUUUGCUUUUCAGUGAGAAUUUCUGGGAUUUCUCUUUUUUACUACAUUGUUCACUUAGGAAUCCUAGGUGGCUUCAUCUGGAGGCUUCAAAAAGAGCCUUCAAUUAGUAAUAGUAAGAUUGCAAUAUCAAACCACAUAGUUACAAACCAUUAAUUUUGACACCCCAACGGUUGCAACAUACCAAAUCAUUCGUACAACAUUCCAUCCUAGUUUCCAGUAAAAAAAUCUUUGCUAUAGAUUGAAAUACCUGGACAGAAGGUCUCAAGCCGAUGGCAUUGCCUCUUGAUUUCUCUUACCUCCACACGCAGGCGUCAUUGCAGCUCCUUGCCUUUGUUCGCCAUCGGCGAGGCGUCUUAUCCCCUUCACUAGCUCUCAGGGCCCUAUAUUCGUGCACCGCCGACGCAGCUCACUGCUUUCUGCUCCGUGAGCUGCUGGGGUGCGAGCUGCUAGAGUCACGGAUCCUUCUAUUCUCUUUUUCCUGGCCGAUCCAAGUUUAAUUUUCUACCCUUUUUCCUAUAAGUACCACGCAAUGUUGAUUCUGCGCGCGACGCGAUAGCCCAGCGAUCGACGCAUCCUCCUUUCCUUUUCACGUGUGCGCGCCGGCACUACGGGAAAGCUAAAAAUUGCCGAGUGUAUUUUUUUUGCCGAGUGUUUUUUUCGAGCACUCGGCAAACAAGCUCUUUGCCGAUCGCAAAGAAUUUUUUUUUAUUUUUAAAAAAAUCUUUGCCGAGUGUCCAGAUCAGGACACUCGGCAAAUCCCGCAAAAAAUAUCUACCAGCCCGUCCCGGCCCCCUACCCCAGCACCCUACUCCCCACCCGCCCGACGCGCCCCUGGCCUCCUUCAUUCUUCCGCACAACACUACCGGCGCGCCCCCGCCCGAGUGCCCGACGCCCCCCCCCUCCCCCACCUUCCUCUCCCGCCGCCGGCUAGCCACCGCCGCCGCCGCCGCCACCCCUUCCCUCCCUCCCUCCCUCUCCCUCUCCCUCUCCUACCGGCGCCCCUUCCCCUCCUCUCCCCUCCUCCCUCCCUCGCGUGGCCGCCCCGCCCCUCUCCCCAGAUCCGGCCGGAUCCGGCGGGGAAUCCGCCCCUCCUCCCCGGAUUCGGCGGGGACUCGCGUCGGGGACCCCAUAUCCGGCGGGCGUGGAUGGUGGUGGUGGCGGGCGUGGAUGGUGGUGGCGGCGGGCGUGGAUGGUGGCCGCCGCCGGCGGCGUGCUGGUGGUGCGGCCGACGGUGUCGGCGUGCCUUUUUUUUUACUUUUUUUCCAAAAAAUGGUUUGCCGAGUGUUUUCUGGGCACUCGGCGAAAACUGUGCCGAGUGCCCAACCGAAAACACUCGGCGAAUGUUACUUUGCCGACUAAAAGUUUGCCGAGUGCCAGAUGCCGAGUGUAACACUUGGCGAAUUUGUUGCCGAGAGUAUUUCAGGUUUCGCCGAGUGCCCCUGGCACUCGGCAUAAAACUUGUGUCCGGUACUGAGGCUCACGGAAAGUUGACUCUCUCCCACUUUCUCUCACCGCGGUGCGUGCAAUUCUGACUCUCACCACGUCGUCUCAAUGAGGUCGUUACAUGUACAUUAUUUUCAUUAUUAUUUUUUUUUGUGAAAGAAAACAGGCCAUCAUUGCAUGCGCAUGGUGAUGAAUGGUGAUUUUGUUUUUGGCCAUCCCGGAAAGCGACAGGAUCAGCACUCGGUGCGCGUGCAUGAUGCGUUCCCGUCUCCUCGUGACAAUCGUGACUACGAGUCUACGACACGGCCGGCCUGCCGGAGUUAUAGGGCACCUAAUUUUUCUGUACUUUUUUUUCUCUUAAAAUCUUCAGUUGUUGCAGAAGAACUGAACAGACGAUGAAUGAUUACACUGUGAAGCGCAGUACAUUAGGUAGGAUGGUGUCACUGUUGGCCUAUAAAAUAUGCUGUCGCUGAAAAAGAAGUGAACCAAGGAUUCAUGGAUCUCAGCGCCGUUUGCCUCGAUACCCAGCGCCGUUUCCUCGUUCCCACGAAUUUUGCAUGAAGGCACAUAGGAGAGGGAUGCAUGGUUUCCUCGUUGGUAACAGAACCGCGUCAAGUCUUUUCCUCCCAACCGACGUACUAAUUCCAUCCAACUAAACUUUAGUUGGGUAAAAUUUGAUGUCUCUUUUUUAAGCUAGCUAAAGAUAAUCUAGCUAAAGUUUAGUUGGAGGUGUUUGGAUCCACCAGCUAAAUGAGUUAUUUAUCUAUCUUGCCCCUCCCACCACCUCUCACCAGCAUCUCUUCCAACUCGCUGGCAGAUGGGAGGCACAGGGAGGGGUGGCGUAGCUUGCUAGCGGGGGAGGAUCAGUGCAGCUCACCGGUGGAGGAAGAAAGGGAGAGGGCGGCACAGCUCGCCAGUGGAGGAAGGAAGGGAGGGGGCAGCGUAGCUCGCCAGUAGAUGGGAGGCACAACGAGGGGCAACGUAGCUCGUCGGCAGGGGGAGGAAGGGGAGGAGCAGUGCGGACCGUCGACGGGAGCGACGGACUGGCGCGCGAGGAUCGGUAGUGGUGGCAACGGACCAGCGUGCGGGGAACGAGGAGCGCGGGGGCGUGGGAGGGGAUCGAGGGGGGGAUUUAACGAGGAGGGGUAUUUUGGUGUUUACUGCUUUAGCUGGUUUUAGCUAGGUUCAACCAACUAAAGAAAUCUUUAGCCAGCUAAAGUUUAGCUAGGCCCUGUUGGAUCCAAACAGGGUCUUAGUUAGAUGGCUUAGAUCAUUCUCAAUAGGAGGUUUUAUACGAGUUUCAUGAGCAUUAAAUUCUAUACCACAUCAACAAUUUUGUUGACUUGAUAAGGUCACCAUGAAGAGAGAAAGGAGGCAGUGUUUCAUUAGAUGAGAGAGGAGUUUCAUGCCCAUAACGGUCACCGGGUACAAUUACCAAGUUUCCAAUCUUGAUAACUGUGCAAUAAAACUGCGCACUGAGACUGGCCUUAAAUUCCUCCCUAAAACUCUCGUGACUCAAAACCCUCGUCACUCGUUAAUGUGCGUUAUUAUAUAAAUGUAAAGGACUUAUGAGUUUCAAAAUUGAUCAGCACAAAUGUGUAACGACUCCUGGCCUAGUCCAGCAGUAUAGAUGGGAUUUAAUGCUGUCAUUUCUGGCAACGGUUCCAUGGAUAGGCAGGAUAUCUGGCUAAAGGAGUAUUACAUUCAGCUCAUUCCAUCCUUAAAUUAUAUAUGUUGUUCUCACACAGGACUCUAUAGGAGUCGUAUGUUUUAAAUAUAUGACUAUUCAUUAUUUCUAUAAAUAUUUAUGCAAAUAGAUAAAUGUACAAGUUAAGUCUAAAUUACUUCUUAUAACUACUUAUUUUACUUUAUUAAAAUUAUUAAUAACUAGAUAUUGUUUGUUAAAGUAGGAGGGAAAAAUUAAAUGUGCCGUAUAUUAGGAACGAAGCAAAUGAAAUUAGUUUUCCUUGUAGUUGGCUUGUUGUAAUGUGUAGUGACAAAAUAAACAUAAUUUAGAGUUGCCAGCAAGUAGGUAGGGCCUGUCCCUCUCUCUAUCUCUAUAUAUUCACGCACUCGGAGCUAUGGAACGCAAGCCUACACUAAAGCAAGUUACAUUCUAGAAGAAGAGGCAAGCUUAGGGCUAACUGUUAUCAGCCAUGGGCAGCACUGGGUAUGCCAAUGGUGCCGGCGGCGUCGUCGACGACGACGACGCGACUUGCCUGCACGCACAAACGCUGGUGUACGCCUACAACGUCACCAUGGCCGUCCACGCGGCAGUCAAGCUCGGCCUCAUCGACGCGCUCGGCGCGGCCGACGGCCGUGCCCUGACCGCCGACGAGCUCGCCGCGAAGGUUGUCAAGGCGGAGGACAAGGCCGAGUCGGCCGCCUUGAUCGGCCGCAUCCUCAGGUUCCUCGCGUCCUUCGACGUCGUGAGGUGCUCUGCCGAGAAAGGUCCCGACGGUGCCGUCCUCUGGCGGUACUCGCCGGCGCCGGCGUGCCGGUGGCUCACCAUGAACAACGGCGAGGGCUCGCUUGGCCCCAUGGCCGUGUUCGACGUCGACGAGGACAACUUCUCGUCCUGGUAUGAAUGUUCUAAUUUUAUACUAUUACAUGACUACAAAGUAUAUAUGCCCUUGUCAAUAAAACUUAUAUAUUGUUACAUAUACUAUGCAUGAAGGCAUCACAUAGCGGACGCAGUGGCCGGCGGCGGCAAGCAGACGCCGUUCCAGAUAGCCCACGGGGGGACGCCGGCGUACGACUACUUCGGGAAGAACCCUCGUCUGAGCACGCUCUUCGACCAGGCCAUGGCUCAUCAGUCAUUGCUGGUGAUCAGGAAGCUGCUCGAGCACCCGAAGGUGUUCGACGGCGUUGGGGUGAUCGUGGACGUUGGAGGGGGCACCGGAGCAACCCUAGCGUUGAUCAGGGGCCGGUACAAGCACAUCAAGGGCAUCAACAUGGAUCUCGCUCAUGUCAUCUCUGAGGCUCCGUCUCUUGAAGGUAUAGCUCCAGUUCAGAAAUUGUGGCAAGAGUACGUGGGGUUGUGUAUGUGCUUAGUGUUUCUUUUUUCUUUUUUUUUCCUUGUCUGACAGGAGUCGAGCAUGUGGCUGGCGAUAUGUUUGAAAGCGUACCCUCUGGAGACGCAGUUUUGAUGAAGGUAUGUUGAACACUGUUAGAUUUCAUAAAGUUUCUCCAGGUUUUUUAGACUACAGUAUGGAAUGUUUUUUAGACUACAAGCUAAACAGAUCACCAGGAUUGUAUUACACCUGAUUAGUGCAUGCGAUUGUGCAGUGGAUGCUCCACAUGCAGAGCGACGAGGAGUGCAUGAUGAUCUUGAAGAACUGCCACAAAGCUCUCCCGGCUAACGGGAAGGUGAUCGUCAUUCAGAGCGUCCUGCCGGAGACCCCGGAGUCGACUCCGGCUUCCCGGGACUCGUUCACCAUGGAUAUGAUCAUUCUUGUAAACUUUAAGGGAGGGAAGGAGAGGACGGAGCAGGAGUACGCCAAGCUUGGCAGGGAUGCUGGAUUUACUGGUGGCUUCCAGUCGACCUACAUCUUCUGCAACAUUUACGCUCUUGAGUUUACCAAGUAGUAGGGACAUGCACUACGUUUUUACCAGUUGUUGUGUUGAACAAGAGCUCGUGAGCUUUCCAAUAAACCAUGCGUCUUCUUGGUGAUAAUGCCAUUGAGGGCUUCAUG
rnacentral:lncRNA from 1 species